CUGGGAUCUAGUCUCCAGGUUGGAGCGGAUUAAACGCCCGGUUGUGCGGGGAGCGGACCUCCGGCGGGUGAACCCGCUCCAGCGGGGUCGGGGCCCCGGAGGCGGCCCCCAGGGGACAGCGCUGCGUACGAAGAUCGGGCAAAUAACUGACAUGACGAGGCCCCCGGAGAGGGGAGGGAAGGGCAGACCAGGCGACGCCCACAGGCAGGCAAGAGGGCGGGGGGCCAGUCUCCGUCGGCGGAGAAGAGGGACCACUACCCACCGGCGGGGAGCGGGGGACUAGUUUAAGCCCAUAGAGAGAGGGGCGAGGCCCUGCCGGAGGGCAGCAGAGGGGCGAGCCGAGCCCCGCCGGUCGCCAGACAGGAGGAAGGGUGUGAUUUCCCCGCGCUCCUCACCGCCAUCCUGCACACUGGGUGCAACUGUGUGUACAGACCUACUUGGAUGAGGUUCGCUUGGAGCCGCCAUCUUCUCAACUAUGCUUCACUGUCAGCCAAUCAAGAAGGAGAUGUCACGUGACUCACAGAGUGUUAGGGAGCGUUUCACUCCCUUCGGCCCGUUCAUUUUCUCCCUGUUGACCAUGCGAUGGAUCCCCAAUCCCUGUGACCCAACCAUCUGAGACUCUGCAAAGACCAAACCCACAAAUUUUUGCCUCUCGCAGCGG